UGGUGGGGUUCGUUUUGUUUAUUCUUUAGUUUUCUAUGUUGUGUCAUGUGUACUAUUGUUUUUCUGUUUGUCUUUUUCAUUUUUAGCCAUGGCGUUGUCAGUUUGUAUUAGAUUUAUGAGUUUGACUGUCCCUUUGGUAUCUUUCGUCCCUCUUUUAAAGCUGUUUUGUCUGAUCUAAAUUUGAACGAUAAUAACCAUUUUCCCCC
rnacentral:lncRNA from 1 species